CAAAGUGCUUAUAGUGCAGGUAG
rnacentral:ncRNA from 4 species